UGGUGGAGUGAUUUGUCUGGUUAAUUCCGAUAACGAACGAGACCUUGACCUGCUAAAUAGUCCCGUCAAGUAUUUUGCUUGGCGGCUGACUUCUUAGAGGGACAAUCUGUGUUUCCAGCAGAUGGAAGCGCGAGGCGAUAACA
rnacentral:rRNA from 1 species